AAUAGGGGGCGGGGCAACGAGGGGGCGGGGCUUUAUAAGGGGGCGGGGCUUAAUGUGGGCGACGGGCGGGGCUGAUAAGGGGGCGGAGCUUAUGGGGGCGGAGCUUAAUAAAGGGGCGGGGCUUAACAGGGGGUGGCUCAAUACGGGCGGGGCUUAACAAGGGGGCGGGGCCUAUAAUGGGUGGGGCUUGAUAAGGGGUUGAGCAUAAAGGGGCGGGGCUUAAUAAAGGGGCGGGGCUUAAUAUGGGCGGGGAUUAAUAAAGGGGCGGGGCUUAACAAGGGGCGGGGCUUAAUAGGGGGCGGGGCCUAUGAUGGGUGGGUAUUAACAAGGGGGCGGGGCUUAAUAAAGGGCGGGGCUUAUAAUGGGUGGAGCUCGAUAAGGGGGCGGGGCUUAAUGAGUGGGCGGGGCUUAAUGAGGGGGCGGGGCUUAAUAUGGGCGGGGUUCGAUAAAGGGGCGGAGCUUUAUGUGGGCGGAGCUUAAUGUGGGCGGGGCUUAAGAAGGGGGCGUGGCUUAAUAUGGGCGGGGCUUAAUGGGGGGCUUAAUAAGGGGCGGGGCCGAAUAAGGGGCGGGGCUUAAUAAGGGGGCGGGGCUUAAUAACCCCUAUAGGAUCCACAAGGGCUUCAUUAUUGGGACCCCCAUUUUUGGGUUGAAAACCCCCAUUUUUGGGUUGAAACCCCCAUUUUUGGGCUGAAAACCCCCCAUUUUUGGAUCCAAACCCCCCAUUUUGGGGUCCAAACCCCCCAUUUUUGGGUUCAAACCCCCAUUUUUGGGCUGAAAACACCCAUUUUUGGGUCAAAACCCCCCAUUUUGGGGCUGAAAACCCCCAUUUUUAGGUCCAAACUCCCCAUUUUUGGGUCGAAACCCCCCAUUUUUGCAUUGAAACCCCCCAUUUUUGGGCCGAAAACCCCCAUUUUGGGGUCCAAACCCCCCAUUUUUGGGCUGAAAACCCCCAUUUUGAGCUUCAAAUCCCCCAUUUUUGGGUUCAAACCUCCCAUUUUUGGAUCCAAACUCCCCAUUUUUGGGUUCAAACCCCCAUUUUUGGGCUGAAAACACCCAUUUUUGGGUCAAAACCCCCCAUUUUGGGGCUGAGAACCCCCAUUUUUGGGUCCAAAGUCCCCAUUUUUGCAUUGAAAUACCCCAUUUUUGCUUUGAAACCCCCCAUUUUUGGGUCCAAACACCCCAUUUUUGGGUCAAAACUCCCCAUUUUUGGGUCGAAACCCCCCAUUUUUGGGCUGAAAAUCCCCAUUUUGGGCUUCAAAUCCCCCAUUUCUGGGUUCAAACCCCCCAUUUUUGGAUCCAAACUCCCCCAUUUUUGGGUUCAAACCCCCAUUUUUGGGUUGAAACUCCCCUUUUUUGGAUCCAAACCCCCCAUUUUUGCAUUGAGACCCCCAUUUUUGGGCUGAAAACCCCCAUUUUUGGGUCCAAACCCCCAUUUUUGGAUCCAAACUCCCCAUUUUUGCAUUGAAACCCCCCAUUUUUGGGUCCAAACCCCCCAUUUCUGCAUUGAAACCCCCAUUUUUGGGAUGAAAACCCCCAUUUUUAGGUCCAAAACCCCCCAUUUUUGGGCUGAAACCCCCCAUUUUUGGGCUGAAAACCCCCAUUUUUGGGUCGAAACCCCCAUUUUUGGGCUGAAAACCCCCAUUUUUGGGUCGAAACCCCCAUUUUUGGGCUGAAAACCCCCAUUUUUGGAUCCAAACCCCCAUUUUUUGAGUUCAAACCCCCCAUUUCUGCAUUGAAACCCCCCAUUUUUGGGCUGAAAACUCCCCAUUUUGGGGUCCAAACUCCCAUUUUUGGGUUGAAGCCCCCCAUUUUUGGGUUCAAACUCCCCAUUUUUAGGUCCAAUCCCCCAUUUUUGGGUUGAAACCCCCCAUUUUUAGGUCGAAACCCCCCAUUUUUGGGAUGAAUCCCCCAUUUUUGGGCUGAAAACCCCCAUUUUUGGGUUGAAACUCCCCAUUUUUGGGCUGAAACCCCCCAUUUUUGGGUCCAAACUCCCCAUUUUUGGGCUGAAAACACCCAUUUUUAAGUCCAAACCCCCAUUUUUGGGUUCAAACUCCCCAUUUUUGGGUCCAAACCCCCCAUUUUUGGGCUGAAACCCCCCAUUUUUGGGUUCAAACUCCCCAUUUUUGGGCUGAAAACCCCCAUUUUUGGGUCCAAACCCCCCAUUUCUGCAUUGAAACCCCCCAUUUUUAAGUCCAAACCCCCAUUUUUGGGUUCAAACCCCCAUUUUUGGGUUAAAAACCCCCAUUUUUGGGUCCAAACCCCCAUUUCUGCAUUGAAACCCCCAUUUUUGGGCUGAAAUCCCCCAUUUUGGGGUCCAACCCCCCCAUUUUUGCAUUGAAACUCCCCAUUUUUAAGUCCAAACCCCCAUUUUUGGGUCGAAACCCCCCAUUUCUGCAUUGAAAC
rnacentral:lncRNA from 1 species